CAGCCGCCGCGGUAAAACGAAGGGUGCAAGCGUUACUCGGAAUUACUGGGCGUAAAGCGUGCGUAGGUGGUGGUUUAAGUCCGUUGUGAAAGCCCUGGGCUCAACCUGGGAAUUGCAGUGGAUACUGGGUCACUAGAGUGUGGUAGAGGAUAGUGGAAUUUCCGGUGUAGCGGUGAAAUGCGUAGAGAUCGGGAGGAACAUCAGUGGCGAAGGCGGCCAUCUGGGACAACACUGACGCUGAGGCACGAAAGCGUGGGGAGCAAACAGGAUUAGAUACCCCGGUAGUCCCUGUCUCUUAUAC
rnacentral:rRNA from 1 species